GUUGAUGGGAAUGUUGUUUGACUCAAGCAUAUGCAGUUGAGGUCUUGAGUCCUACUUAAAUUCCUAAAUGAUCUCCGAUCAGGCUUCAUCUUUCCUCUCCUC
rnacentral:pre_miRNA from 1 species